UACGUAGGGUGCAAGCGUUGUCCGGAAUUAUUGGGCGUAAAGAGCUCGUAGGCGGUUUGUCGCGUCUGCUGUGAAAACUGGAGGCUCAACCUCCAGCCUGCAGUGGGUACGGGCAGACUAGAGUGCGGUAGGGGAGAUUGGAAUUCCCGGUGUAGCGGUGAAAUGCGCAGAUAUCGGGAAGAACACCCGUGGCGAAGGCGGCUCUCUGGGACGGUACUGACGCUGAGACGCGAAAGCGUGGGGAGCGAACAGG
rnacentral:rRNA from 1 species